rnacentral:rRNA from 1 species
AUGAGAUGGUUUGCUAAAAGCAGCACCGUGAUUGCCUACUGUGUUUACACGCCACUGGUUGGAGGACUGCUACCUCCCUCACAUCACCCACGAACGCCCUCCCCGCUGCCGAUCGGUUCUCCGCCGCCCCCACCCGACCAUCACCUCCCUCCUCUCCCUCGCCCCACUCCGCCUCACCCGCCGCUGCCUCCUCUCCACAUCCCCGGCACGGCCUCCCGCUUCCAGGCGCUCGCCUCGAAGAAGGCGACCGCCCCCACCGUCUUCGGGCCCAGCGGGGGCGCAUGGAGCAGGCUGCUCUCGGUGCUGGACCGGGUGCUCACUGACGAGGAGGAGUACCGCUGGCGCGCCCAGGUGCAGUGCAUGGGCGUGGAGGCAGAGAGGUAG